rnacentral:rRNA from 1 species
GACGAACGCUGGCGGCGUGCUUAACACAUGCAAGUCGAACGGUAAGGCCCUUCGGGGUACACGAGUGGCGGACGGGUGAGUAACACGUGGGUGAUCUGCCCUGCACUUCGGGAUAAGCCUGGGAAACUGGGUCUAAUACCGGAGAGGACCACUGCCUGCAUGGGGGGUGGUGGAAAGCUUUUGCGGUGUGGGAUGGGCCCGCGGCCUAUGAGCUUGUUGGUGGGGUGAUGGCCUACCAAGGCGACGACGGGUAGCCGGCCUGAGAGGGUGACCGGCCACACUGGGACUGAGAUACGGCCCAGACUCCUACGGGAGGCAGCAGUGGGGAAUAUUGCACAAUGGGCGCAAGCCUGAUGCAGCGACGCCGCGUGAGGGAUGACGGCCUUCGGGUUGUAAACCUCUUUCAGCACCGACGAAGCGCAAGUGACGGUAGGUGCAGAAGAAGGACCGGCCAACUACGUGCCAGCAGCCGCCGUAA